rnacentral:rRNA from 1 species
CGGUUCACCGAGAAAUGGGAGUGGCGAACGGGUGAGUAACACGUGGGUAACCUACCCAUCAGCGGGGGAUAACACUUGGAAACAGGUGCUAAUACCGCAUAAUUCUUUUCUUCGCCUGGAGGAAAGAUGAAAGACGCUUUUGCGUCACUGAUGGAUGGACCCGCGCUGCAUUAGCUAGUUGGUGGGGUAACGGCUCACCAAGGCCACGAUGCAUAGCCGACCUGAGAGGGUGAUCGGCCACACUGGGACUGAGACACGGCCCAGACUCCUACGGGAGGCAGCAGUAGGGAAUCUUCGGCAAUGGACGGAAGUCUGACCGAGCAACGCCGCGUGAGUGAAGAAGGUUUUCGGAUCGUAAAACUCUGUUGUUAGAGAGGAAUAAGGAUGAGAGUAGAAUGUUCAUCCCUUGACGGUAUCUAACCAGAAAGCCACGGCUAACUACGUGCCAGCAGCCGCGGUAAUACGUAGGUGGCAAGCGUUGUCCGGAUUUAUUGGGCGUAAAGCGAGCGCAGGCGGUUUCUUAAGUCUGAUGUGAAAGCCCCCGGCUUAACCGGGGAGGGUCAUUGGAAACUGGGAGACUUGAGUGCAGAAGAGGAGAGUGGAAUUCCAUGUGUAGCGGUGAAAUGCGUAGAUAUAUGGAGGAACACCAGUGGCGAAGGCGACUCUCUGGUCUGUAACUGACGCUGAGGC